UUGGUAGCUCAGCUGGAUAGAGUGACUGACUACGAAUCAGUAGGCCGGGGGUUCGAGUCCCUUCCAUC
rnacentral:tRNA from 3 species